UACAAUGGCUGUAACANAGGGAAGGCAAACCAGCGAUGGUAAGCAAAACCCAAAAAGACAGUCACAGUUCGGAUUGAAGGCUGAAAUUCGCCUUCAUGAAGCCGGAAUUGCUAGUAAUGGCAGGUCAGCAUACUGCCGUGAAUACGUUCCCGGGCCUUGUACACACCGCCCGUCAAGCCAUGGGAGCCGGGGGUACCUGAAGUGCGUAACCGCGAGGAGCGCCCUAGGGUAAAACUGGUGACUGGGGCUAAGUCGUAACAAGGUAGC
rnacentral:rRNA from 1 species